CCUACGGGUGGCAGCAGUGAGGAAUAUUGGUCAAUGGGCUUACGCCUGAACCAGCCAAGUCGCGUGAGGGAAGACUGCCCUAUGGGUUGUAAACCUCUUUUGUCAGGGAGCAAAGCCGGCUACGGUUAGCCGGACUGAGAGUAACUGAAGAAAAAGCAUCGGCUAACUCAGUGCCAGCAGCCGCGGAAAUACGGAGGAUGCGAGCGGUAUCCGGUUUGAUUGGGUUAAAGGGGUGCGUAGGCGGAAUGCCAAGUCAGCGGGAAAAUCGCGGGGCUCAACCUCGCUCCGCCGUUGAAACUGGCGUUCUUGAGUGGGCGAGAAGUAUGCGGAAUGCGUGGUGUAGCGGUGAAAUGCAUAGAUAUCACGCAGAACUCCGAUUGCGAAGGCAGCAUACCGGCGCCCAACUGACGCUGAAGCACGAAAGCGUGGGUAUCGAACAGGAUUAGAUACCCGAGUAGUC
rnacentral:rRNA from 1 species